UAGAAGUGAUAGCCCUGUUAUUCUAUG
rnacentral:piRNA from 1 species